rnacentral:lncRNA from 1 species
AGAUAAUUCAUCACUGUUUGAUGAGGAUGAAGAGGACGUUAUUUCAGAUGAUCAUGCUCCACAGCAAGGUUUCCCUGGCGACUCUCUCACAUUGCAUGAUCACAUGCUGUCUGCUCCUGAUCCAGUGACGGAGCCUGAUCCUUAUUGCAUGGCACGCUUUGGAGACCUUUUUAAAGACAUUGUCACUGAGAAAGUGGUGCUUUCAAAUGGAGAUAUCCUCCUUAUGGCAUUAAAGCAAGAUGUGAAGAAUAAUUUGACUCUCACAGGCCUAACUAGCUUAAUAGACCUCAUCGACAAAAUUUUUGACAAGCCUAUAUUGCCUCACUCACGGUAUCACCUACAUAAACUUCUUAACAAAA